CUGCGCCACGAGACACUGAACCUGGUCGACUUCUUUGCGGCCAACCUAGUGCACAUCCUGGCAAGCUCAUUCGCCAACACCUUCCUGGCCGUUGUCCAGUUGUUAAUCAACGACGUAACAAACACUACUUAUGUCAUGCUGCUACCCGUCGUGGUCAUCUUCCUCCAGCUGUCGUACUUCAGCCAGGAGUUGUCGGACUCCAGUCUGACGCUGAAGAGGUGCGCCUACGCCGCGGCGACCGGCGGCGCCGUGACCGUGGCCGAGGCCCGCGCCCUCCAGCUCGUGAUCCUGGCCGCCAGCAGGCCGCCGGCCCUUGGCUGCCGGGGCCUGGGCCGGCUCAGCCUGGCCAACGCGGGCCGGGCCCUCCGCCAGGCCUACUCGCUGGUCAACGUUCUCAGCUCCAAGUUGUAAUAGCACGUGGUGCAGUCUGCAGUUCGGCAAACUUUUCUGGAUGUGCUGCACCGGAUCAUCCGCAUGACCGGAUGCAGGCGUGCGGACGGGUUGCAUACUUUUCCGACCAAGGGGCCGUAGUACAGUAUGCACUACGAGAAAAAGUACGGCCUAGAACACCCACUCUAUAUAUGU